CACAUUACAGUCUUCUAAGUGCAGUCAGCUAAACUUCAACAGAAGCAACAGUGGAACUCCGAGGUGCUCCUGUGGAGUGGGAGGCAGUCGCCCUGCUUGGUCCCAAUAAUGCGCUCGGCACUUAGUGCUCAUAAUAAACAGCUCUCUUCCUGUGCUCUCGGGGAAUCUGAUCUUUCACUGAGCUGAAAUGGCAAAAUGAGUCUUCUGGGUCCUUAUCUGGAGCGAGUCCAACUGCAGAAGCAGACAGCGCUUGGAGCAGGCAGCUGCAGGAAGACGGAGUCUGACUCACUGGUACCUGAGCCUCAAUACCGUCUGGGCCUCUCCUCCCACCAGUUUUGUGUCAUAAAGCUGUACCCUCUUAUUAAACUGUGUUCCUAGCUGCUUAAUUGCACUGACUUGAGGCUGGUAGAAAGGGAAGAAUAUGCACUGAUUAUUUUUGGUACCCUGCUAAUGGGAGGAAAGAGCGUACUUUCUCAAGCCUAUAAUUUGUAGGUUUUAGGGUUAUUUGCUAAAUAAUAAAUCCCCAUGGAGUUCAGAAAUGGUAAGCCCAUUAAGUGACUUAAUAUGAUGAGAUUAUUUUAAUACAGUAUGCAUAUGUUCAAUGCUUGAUUCACAAACCCCUUGAGGCUAUUACCUAAUACCUCAUCAAAUCCUCUGUGGUGAUGGGUGAGUUGAAUGUCAGGUAGAACUUGACUUCGUAUAAGUGGAUAGUCUAUGGGAAAUCUGAAAUUAGUUGUCCUUUAUCCGUUCUUCCUGAUAAUCACUGACUAAAUCAUUGACUCUAAAUUACUCAUACAUAGUAAAAAUGCACAUUAACCAAAAGAGGGCCUUACGAAUUUUUAGGGUGCUAUUUCCAUACUUUUAUGAAGAAUCUAAGUCUCUCCCGGCUUAUGAUCUUGAAGGACACGUCGCUUUUGCUGUUGGUAUAGUAAAGACCAAAGAUUCCGUGACUCAGUUCUGGUUAGCACCGUCUUAACUCACUAGGGAGAGGCCGAAAUGCAUGGCUAAGAGUAUCUUGAGAGUUUAGCAGAAUAAGGUACUGAAGGUUUUGUUUGUUUACUUACUGAAAAAUUGUACAAUGUAAUGGCACAAGGUGUCGUGGAAUAUUCUUGCAUGUGAACCUGUGGAGGUGUUUGCCUCUCCAGGCGUUCCAGUAAAACUACUGGAAGAGAGGUUAGAGAAGCUUCGGAGGACUUCCCGAGCCUGUGAUUUGGAGAUGUGAGCAACGGACACUAUGGAUCUGGAGUGGAUGUGUUUCAGCCAAGUCCUUCGAUGAGCCAAGCUAGUCAUCUGGUUUUAAUGAGCCCCUUCUGAAAUGUGGACACAAGAGAGAAAAUGGAGUGGCUGUGAGUGACGAUUGAACUCAUACAAGUCUAUGGCUGGAGAUGGUGGUUUUAGUUUUGCUUACUCCAUGUAACAAGGUCACUCUGACUUUAAGGAAGAAGCCAAAAGUCACCCAGUACCUGAUCCGGAGGAGAAGGAAAAAUCUACUUUGGUGCCGGAAGUCAUAGCCUUCCUUUCCCGGGAGGUAGCAGCAGCGGGGCUGUGGGUCCUCUGUCUUCCACUUGUCCACUUUGCCAGGCACUCUCUCCUCUCCCCCUGCCUGCCUCACACCACGCAGGCUGGAGGGCGGCCACCACCUCCUGGAUACGAAAUCGCUGAAUAUGGACAAAGGUUUUCACUGCUUGAGUCAUGCGGGACUCCUCGCUGUGGUCAGCACCUGUGUGGAAAAAGAAUGAAGAAGAGUAUUUUUGUUGAUAAAAGUUCUUGAAAUAUAGCCUGCUCCAAAGAGUUUGCAACCGCAGGGCUGGUUCCCGUCAGACACCCCCGUGCUCCCAUGAGUCAGAGGGACCUAUCAUACUGUGGUCGGGGAAUCCCUCAGCGGGCACCCCGCUUUCUGCAGACAGCGGCUCUUAGGCAUGGCUCUGGUGGCCGCGUUUUAUUUAGUUUGCUGACUUUUUAAUUUCACUCAGUCGCUUCCUUGACCACUGUGCGUGAGUCAUGCAACUCUGUUUCAUUGUAGAUUCAAAGCAAAACCGAGCAGUGUGUUCAUGAUGAGGUAGCUCAGGUGUAUCCCACAAGUUUAAGAAAAUUUGUAUAAAAAUAGCUCAGCCACUAGACAGAUUAUAGUUAGCAUCAUCAAAGAAUGUUUUAGGGCUUGGGAGGAAAAAAGGAAUCAGAUCUGUUUAGAAAUAUCAUGAAAACUUCACAGAGAUGCCCAAAUUGAUUCCAUGCUUUGUGAAAUUGCAGGGUUUCAAUGCUUCAAGAGACAAUGAUAUUUUAGGGAGAAGUAUCUUCAGCCCUUGUUUUAGGAAAAGGGUUGACCACCUGGAGUUAGGGUUCAUUCUUGAAAAACAUGUUGAGUUCUGAUUUUGGAUGCUAGCUUGAGUCAUUUGUACUAAAUUUGGUAAGCUGUUUUUGCACAAUAUUAUCUAAAUGACACAGAUUAAUCUGAAGCCCUGAGUAGAACCAGUAGUGAUGGGAAUGACUAAAGAAAUAAGAUCUGUGUGGAAAUGAGAGACAAAGAGAUGACACAGGUACAGAAAACAUAAAAGGAAAAGAACCAAGGAGCAUCUUGACCGAGCAGAAAUUAUACAGCCUGGCUGAUAAAGACAGACAUUGGACUGGGAGAACUGCGCUUGUCUACUAUUUUGAACUUGGUCUGCGACCGUGCAGACACAUAUCACAGGCUGGGGAAGAGCGACUUGUAGUGACAAAUUUCUCCAAGUGUUUACCUAGUAGGCAAUAGAAAAAUAGAGAUGAGAGGACUUGAACUUAAUCAGUCAAUGUUGUAUGGUAUUCAAUGUGUGUGUGACUAACUUUGCACGACAGUUAUUUUCCAUAACUGAUCUUGAUUUAGCUUCAUUCAUUGAUGCUAGCAGACAAAUAUUAAACUUCUUUGAGGAGGAGGUUGUUCUUGUUCACUGAUGUCUUUUUUUAAAACAUUUUUCUUAUUUUUUGGUACUGGGAAUUGAACUCAGGACCUUGUGCUUGCUAGGCAGGCACUGUACCACUGAGUUAUAUCCCUGAUCCUUUGUCUUUUUUUAUUUUUGGAAUCAAGAUUCAAAUUGCCUGUUAUGUUGGUUGACUUGUGGUACAGGGUGCACUGAGAUCAAGAGUAACUGGAAAUGUAUUCACCUAGAAAUAUGAGCAGCAUUUGCAAGUGUGUAAGAGAAGAAUGAGAUAGGAAUCUUUGUUUAUGAGAAAUAAGAAUCAUGAUUUUGCAAAGUGGUUUUUUUGUGAAAAGUUACCUUCUUCUCCAGUUUGGCCUAACAAACAGUAUGGAGGAUAUUAUUGAUUUCUAAUACAGCUGAAGUCCUCUACUAUUACAGAUCUUAUUUCUGAUGCUUGACUUGAUUUACCAGUGUCUAAAUUUGUUUUAACAGGCCACAUCUAGACUUCUAAAUUGUUGCAUGCAGAGGCUGACUUUGGUAUCGUCACCUAUUUGUUUGGCCUCUUUCCUUUCCUUUUCUUUUUUCCCCAUUCCUCUGUUCUUUACUAAUAGAAUCAAGAUACUAAGAAUUUGUGUCUGCUUAUGGAACCACCAUGUUGUCACUACGGCAGAAAUAAUAUACUUAAACAUUCAAUUUCAUUGAACAGUCUUAGUUAAUACCAAUUAUUGGAUAAAAUAUAAAGAUAUGCUACCUCUUUACUGUUUAAUUGUUCUUACCCAAACAUGCCCAGUUCUAACAGAGUAUUAUCUGUAGUGCAGACCCCUGAUUGAUUCUGGCAGUGUCACAAGUCAUUCAUAUCCAGGGAUGUUCCCUCAAGUUUUAGGAUUACUAGGGGCUGGGGGUUUAGCUCAGCGGCACCGCGCCUGCCUGGCAAGUGCAAGGUCGUGAGUUCGAUUCCCGGUACCGGAGAAAAACCAAAAAAAAAAGUUUUAGGAUUACUAAAUGAUGAUUAUCUUGUACAUACUCUUUUGAUUUUUUGAAGUUAAGAAUUCUGUUUUGACUUUUAUAAUAUAUGCCUACCUAUGUUAUUUGUUAUUGUUGAAAUUUAAUUUCUUGUUUAGUAGAAAACUAGUUUAGAACAAAAUUAAUUAAGGAGAGUACUAGUAUAACAUUCUUUGAGGCAUACAAUUUUUAACUGAAAAAUAAUGGACUAGACAUAAAACAAUAUUAAGUUUCCUUUUAAAUUAAUCACUUUUACUUUUCUGGAAUAUCUAUGAAUUUCUACACAGAAGCCAAAGAUUGGUGCUUUAAAAAAAGUAACAUUAAGAAAUAAAAAAUAGAGGAUUUGCUUUUCCAUGACUUCUGGGAUGGUGUAGUCAAUGUGCUAAUGUUUUCCAAUGUCUCCGUGUCUCCCUCCUGGCUCUCUUUAAUAAAGUUAUUUAGGAAUUAUUGCUAAAUUGAGGUGGUGGUUUUAUUAGCUACAGUUAUUAAAGGCUCCAAAAGAGUUACAUCCCAAAUUUCAAACAACAGAGAAAAACUCGCUUGGCUUUUCCUAUGUGGAGUAAUUCCAAGUAGAUUAACAGUGUAAGUUAUCUGUAAAUUUCUUGGGCUUUAUUUUUAAAUUAAGCAUCUCCAAACAUUUUCUGAACAGAUAGCAUUUUAUAAACCCAUGCUUUAACUACUUCCUCAUGUCAAGAUCAAAGUUUUUGAAAACAUAAUAGUUGCUUUUUUGCUGGAUUUACUUUUUUAUCCUCUUCUUCCUCCACUUUGCUCACUGGGAAUACACUUUUUAAUUUUUUUCUUAGCACCUCAAAACAAACAAAAAACACUUUGGAACUUUGAGUUUUCUUAUUUAGCCAAAGAAAACAUUACAUGGGAACAUCAAAUGCUCUAAUACAAAUUUCAUGACUGUUUAUUAAAAUCCUUUAAUAAUCCUUUAAAAGACAUUAAAAAGAAAUGUCCUUUCUUUUCAUUUUAUGUUUUAAAAUUUUCAAUUUAAUCUGUAAAAGCUACAGUCACCUGGAAAUCAGCAUGUUUGCCUUAAAGAAAACUUCUAUUUUUAUUGACUUAUUUUUAAAUGGCAAGUAAAAUUGCAUGUCUUUAUAGUGUACAAGUGUACUUGCUAUUUCAAAAUAUUCAUAAACCAUGUGAUGUUUAAAUCUGGCUGAGUUGCUUAUGCAUUGCUUCACAUAGUCAUAGUUUCUUGAUGAAAACAUGGAACAUCGACUCGUGGCCUUUUUCAAAAUGCAAUCCAUCCUCAUUAGCCAGGCACUAUGCUGGAAAUCAGUCGCUUAACUUAUUCUUCCUGCCUAGCUGUUUAGUUCCUUGGCCAGCAAGUCCACACAGCUCUCUGGGCCGCCUCUCCCAACUUCCCAAUCUCUGGCCCAUGGCAACUUUGUCUAGAUUUCAUACCUUCAAGGACUCUGGUAUUUUUGCACCUGGUGUAUUUCACUUUACCAUGAUGUCCUCCAGCCUCAUCCUUCUUGUCAGUGAGAGGAUUUCGUUUUUAUGGAUGCGUAUUACUCUAUUUUGCAUGUAUUUCACAUUUGCUCCCUUCUUUCAUCAGUUGCUUUGGUAUCUUGGCUACUAAAAUGGCGCUACAGUCGAGGUGGGAGGGCAGAAGCACCUCCUCGACACACAGAGGUCCGUUCCUUUAAUAUUUGCCCAGUGUUUUUUACAUUGUGUGAUAGUUCUAUUUUAAUUUUGUUGGAAGCCUCCGUACUGUUUCCCAAUAUUUCUAAAUUGAAUUCACUUUUUUUUUCAGACUUUCAAAUUGAGUGCUGAUGAAUCUCUUACAGGAUCACUCCACAUGUUAAAGUGUCAAGACUUUUUAAAUAAAAUAGUAAUGGAAGUUUAGAUAGAAAUUUCAAACAUUUACAUAUAAGAACAUAUGCAAUAGAAUAAAUAUAUGGUUGAAAACACUCAUAUCUUACUAAAAUGAUGUCUCCAUGAUAACAGGGAACAUUCUUGUAUAUAUUUCCUUAAAGCUUAGCUGUUUCAGUUUGCAAGAGUUGCUAUAACCAAGUAACAACACCUAAAUCUUCCCUAAAGAGAAACUUGUUUGUAAAUCAUUCUACCAGCAGAAUGUCCCAAGUUCUAACGUGAGCAGUGUUGGCUUCCUGAGGCCUCUGUCUGGGCCUCACCUCACAGGAGGACUUCUCUCCCUCUGCGUCCACGUGGUCUUUCCUCUGGGUGUCUGCACCCGAGCUUCCGUUUCUCUACAGGACAUACUGACAUAAAUUUAAGGCCAUGGGAUCCUAAUGAUCUUAUCUGAACAUCGUUAUCUCUUUAAGGACCAAUGUAACCGUAAUCACAUUCUGGUGCUGGGGAUUAGGAUUGAGCACAUAAAUUUGGGGGGUAAAAACUUCAUCUCAUAAGCUUGUAAAAUUAAAAUACUUCAUUUUAAAUGUUAUAUGUUUCCUUUUAUAAUUAAAUAUAGGUUAAGAGUUGGAAAAUUGUUAAUGGCAUAUAAAACUAGAAUGAAUAAUCUUUUAGACACCAAACCCAUCUUUUUUUUAAAUGAUAUGUUUAAGAUUUUUGAAUGAGAAAUCUUCACUCUUCUGGGGUUUAAGCAUGAAAUAAAUUAAAUCCACUGGCAGGGCUGGGGCUGCUGAUGGUGGAUCUGGUAUUACUUCUGUCCUGGAAAUAUCUUCUACUGGUUGUUGGAGAAGGAAACGUGGUGUUUUAAGUAAGAAAUGGCUAUUUCCUCAUAAAUAUUCCUUGAUGUAGAAAAUAGUUAUGUAUAUAAACAUUUCAAUUAUUCUGUUUUUCUCAUUACAAUUGUACUGCAA